CCUACGGGAGGCUGCAGUGGGGAAUAUUGGACAAUGGGGGGAACCCUGAUCCAGCCAUGCCGCGUGUGUGAAGAAGGCCCUCGGGUUGUAAAGCACUUUCAGUGAGGAAGAACGCCUGGUGGUUAAUACCCAUCAGGAAAGACAUCACUCACAGAAGAAGCACCGGCUAACUCCGUGCCAGCAGCCGCGGUAUACGGAGGGUGCGAGCGUUAAUCGGAAUUACUGGGCGUAAAGCGCGCGUAGGUGGCUUGAUAAGCCGGUUGUGAAAGCCCCGGGCUCAACCUGGGAACGGCAUCCGGAACUGUCAAGCUAGAGUGCAGGAGAGGAAGGUAGAAUUCCCGGUGUAGCGGUGAAAUGCGUAGAGAUCGGGAGGAAUACCAGUGGCGAAGGCGGCCUUCUGGACUGACACUGACACUGAGGUGCGAAAGCGUGGGUAGCAAACAGGAUUAGAUACCCGGGUAGUC
rnacentral:rRNA from 1 species